UACGUAGGGGGCAAGCGUUGUCCGGAAUCAUUGGGCGUAAAGAGCGUGUAGGCGGCCCGAUAAGUCCGCCGUGAAAGCCCAGGGCUCAACCCUGGGAUGCCGGUGGAUACUGUCGGGCUAGAGUUCGGAAGAGGCAAGUGGAAUUCCUGGUGUAGCGGUGAAAUGCGCAGAUAUCAGGAGGAACACCUAUGGCGAAGGCAGCCCCUGGGCUAACACUGACGCUCAUGCACGAAAGCGUGGGGGAGCAAACAGG
rnacentral:rRNA from 1 species